CAUUUGAAUUUGUAGUCUCGUAUUUUUGUAUAUUUAUUUAGCCGGUCUAUAAUUUAAUACAUUUAAUAAAAAUUGUAAACAAAUUUACUUACAAAAAUGACUCAAGUUAAUGCCAUGAAACAAAUUGGUUCCCGUAACAUGGGUUUUCGUGUCGAAAUUAUGGAAUGGAGUAAUAAAAUGGAUCUAAUUGCAAUAGGAAACGAUAAAGGUGAAGUCAUAAUCCAUCGUCUCAAUUGGCAAAAAAUCGUCACAUUCCCAGCACCUGCAGACAAUUCCAAAGUAAGAGCCUUAACUUGGCAGCCAGAUGAAACAAUGAUUGCUGUUGGCUAUAGCAGUGGAAAAGUAUCACUGUUAGACGUCGAAAAGGAAGAAGAAGUCUUCUCCCUUGAUUAUUGUGAUGAAAUUCAAACAAUCUAUUGGACGAGACCAAUUAGUGCAAUAGAAUAUCGUCAAGUUUAUCGAAAUCGUUCAGAGCUUUGCCAUGCAUUUUUCCUUCCUGCUCUACCCAAUCUAAAUGCAUUAUCAUCGACAGCAAAACGAAACGAAGAUCAUAAAUCCUUUGCCAAGGGAUCCCCUUGCUAUCUCAUUGUUUGCUUACGUUCGGGGAAAAUAUAUCUUCAAAUUCUAGGAGUAUUGCCAUGUGGAACUAUUGAUAUAUCAGAACAUAUAGAAAAAGUUGAUAACUUUAAAAUAAUGAACAUUCGUAUGAAUGCUACAUUUGAUGGAGUCAAUGUGAUUGUUAACGAUGGAGGUUGUAUUAAAGUGUUGACAUUUCUUAAUGGAAUUCUACACACAUCUACCUCGCCUAUGCUUGCUUUAGCUGCAAACUAUGCCCAUGUUUUGGAAACUCAGAAUUAUAUAAAUGACACAAUUCAAUGCAUGGUUGAAGCUUGGGAAACGGUUCUAUUGGAAAUGGAUAAUAAACUUACUAAAUAUGCAAAUUCACAGCCAGAAGGAUCACUUUCUGCUGACUUUUUGGAACUCAUGAUGUUCGGCUACGCAUCAACUGAGUUGGAACAGUUUUUGACAAAUGAAUUAACAGAAAAAGGAAUCAAAAAGCUGGGAAACUCAAUCGAGUUGAGCUAUUCAACAAUACAAAAUUUGGUUACCAAGCCUCUUUUAAGCGCAACAAUAAAUAUGUGUUUUUUCUUAAACACAUUCAAAGGAAUGAGUCGAAAUACGUAUUUCUACAAAGAUCUCGUCACUCCUGAAGCAGCCGAUGAAGCUGUUCGAGCUUGCGGUGCGUUUUUAAUGAAAAUACUUGAACUCCAGCAAAUAAUCGAUCAAUGUGUGAAUGAUAUGAAAAUAUUCUUUUGUUGGCUUUGUGUGGCUAUUGUCCGAUUAAUGAAUGAGACUGUUCCCGAAGAGAUGUCACAAGUUUCCCAAGAAGACAUCAUCUAUCUGGCAGACUAUCUGAACAACUUUGAUGACUGUCUUCUUCAGAAUGAUGAUGGUUCUGUAACAAAACGAAAAUUCAAUCUUGAAAAAGUUGGCCAGUACUUGGAAAAUGAAGAACUUCAACAACAAGCCAAAUGUGAUACCCAUCAUAGAUGGAACAAGUUACUAGAAGAAAAUGAAUGUUUAAAAAAUUGUUCACUAAUCUUUCCGCAUGACCAAAAACUCUCACUAAUUCAACAGCGUGACAAGAUGUCAGAAGCCAUUGGAAAAGUCUUCACUAAACCAAAUACCAGUAUUUCCACAGAUUUCAGUCACAUUUCAACACUUAUUUGUGCUCCCGAAACACCAGCAGAUUUUCAAGUUAAAAGUACAUUCAUUGUGAGUGAAUCUGCACAAGCUGAUAUGCUGGCCCUUACAGUGGGUAUUGCCGAGUUCAUGAUAAUUGAAUUCCAACUUACAACGCCUUCUGUAAAAUGCACUCGUUUGAAUCUCAAGCCAAGUCCAUUUACUCCAGUUCAUCUGGCCCAAACUUAUAGUAAUUUGUCAGUAGUUGAUUUGCAGUUUUACAAUGACUUGACUUUGUCAUUGCUUUUACAAAAUACUAACCAGACAGAUGGAAAAAUUCAAAAUUAUUUUGUACAAUUGCCCAUGGAAACAAUCAAUGGAAAAUACUCUCAACAUCGUAUUGCUGAGAUGAUGUAUUUAGCAGAUUUAUCUAUGUGGCAUAGUUUAUUGGAUAUAGUUGAUAAUAGCUUUUUAAAAGCAGUUGAUGGUACUUGCACAAGUAUGGCUGUAUCUGGCAGUCGUAAGGUGGCAGCUGUUUUAUCAGAAAAUUAUAAAAAGAUAAGUAUCUACGAAAUGGAAGUUGAAGACGAUGAAGAUGACGUUGAAAUGUCGCACAAUUCAUUUUUAGAUACUAGUAAGGAAUCUGCUGUGUCAACUGAAUAAAAAUGUUAUAUAAAUAAUGCAUGUUAAAAACAAGAUCUUAAGAAGUUACUACUUACUUAUUAUGAUAGAUAGCAGUCUCCAAUUUUGCAAUCCAAGUCGUUUUAUGUAUAAACAUAUGGGUUGUUAAGUUAAAAGCCCAUUUCUUCAUAAUAUAUGGUA